rnacentral:rRNA from 1 species
GACGAACGCUGGCGGCGUGCCUAACACAUGCAAGUCGAGCGAAAGACUUCGGUCUUUAGCGGCGGACGGGUGAGUAACACGUGGGUAACCUGCCUCAUAGAGGGGGAUAGCCUUCCGAAAGGAAGAUUAAUACCGCAUAACAUAUUUUUAUCACAUGGUAAGAAUAUCAAAGGAGUAAUCCGCUAUGAGAUGGACCCCGCGGCGCAUUAGCUAGUUGGUGAGGUAACGGCUCACCAAGGCGACGAUGCGUAGCCGACCUGAGAGGGUGAUCGGCCACAUUGGAACUGAGAAACGGUCCAGACUCCUACGGGUGGCUG